rnacentral:rRNA from 1 species
UACGUAGGCAGCAAGCGUUGUUCGGAAUUACUGGGCGUAAAGAGUGUGUAGGCGGUGUUCUAAGUCUGUUGUGAAAUCUCCCGGCUUAACUGGGAGGGUGCGGCGGAAACUGGAAUGCUAGAGGAUGGGAGAGGUAAGCGGAAUUCCUGGUGUAGCGGUGAAAUGCGUAGAUAUCUGGAGGAACACCGGUGGCGAAGGCGGCAUCCUGGACCAAUACUGACGCUGAGGAGCGAAAGCUAGGGGAGCAAACGGG